GCCAGAGAUGGUAGUCCGCCGCCAAGCCGCUGAUCUCCGUAGACGGUCAACCCCGACAUGCUAAUCCCCGUGAUGAUGCCGCCGAGGGAACUUAACAUCGUCACGCGUAUCAUGGGGAGGAUGAAGAUGAGAUGUGUGCCAUUGAUCGCUUGUUGGACGGUGGAGAUUAGAUCUCCAGUUAUCGCAUUGAAGCUGGGAUCUAGGUCAUUCAUUUGGAGUUCAACGGAGUAGAUUAGAUCAUGUUAAAUAAAAU
rnacentral:lncRNA from 7 species